CAAAGAACAAGAGGAAGAAGACUUCUCCUAGGCGUGCGUGCUCAUCAUGCUGCAGGUGGCUAUGCUAUACGUGGUUGAUAUAAGAGAUGGAAGACUUCUCCUUGGCGCGCGCUCAGUAUGCCACAGACGGCUACGCUAUACGUGGUUUUGCCAGUGUUACGCCAAGCAACAUGAGACGACGACAGCAUACGACAGCCCGGGUCCCUAAUAUGCUCAGCACUUGAUAUCAUCUUCAAGGCGCUCAAAGAACAAGAGGAAGAAGACUUCUCCUAGGCGUGCGUGCUCAUCAUGCUACAGGUGGCUAUGCUAUACGUGGUUGAUAUAAGAGAUGGAAGACUUCUCCUUGGCGCGCGCUCAGUAUGCCACAGAUGGCUACGCUACACGUGGUUUUGCCAGUGUUACGCCAAGCAACAUGAGACGACGACAGCAUACGACAGCCCGGGUCCCUAAUAUGCUCAGCACUUGAUAUCAUCUUCAAGGCGCUCAAAGAACAAGAGGAAGAAGACUUCUCCUAGGCGUGCGUGCUCAUCAUGCUACAGGUGGCUAUGCUAUACGUGGUUGAUAUAAGAGAUGGAAGACUUCUCCUUGGUGCGCUUUCAGUAUGCUACAGAUGGCUAUGCUAUACGUGGUUUUGCCAGUGCUACACCAAGCAACAUGA